rnacentral:rRNA from 1 species
UGGGGAAUUUUGGACAAUGGGCGAAAGCCUGAUCCAGCAAUGCCGCGUGUGUGAAGAAGGCCUUCGGGUUGUAAAGCACUUUUGUCCGGAAAGAAAUCCUUGGCUCUAAUACAGUCGGGGGAUGACGGUACCGGAAGAAUAAGCACCGGCUAACUACGUGCCAGCAGCCGCGGUAAUACGUAGGGUGCAAGCGUUAAUCGGAAUUACUGGGCGCAAAGCGUGCGCAGGCGGUUUGCUAAGACCGAUGUGAAAUCCCCGGGCUCAACCUGGGAACUGCAUUGGUGACUGGCAGGCUAGAGUAUGGCAGAGGGGGGUAGAAUUCCACGUGUAGCAGUGAAAUGCGUAGAGAUGUGGAGGAAUACCGAUGGCGAAGGCAGCCCCCUGGGCCAAUACUGACGCUCAUGCACGAAAGCGUGGGGAGCAAAACAGGAUUAGAUACCCUGGUAGUCCACGCCCUAAACGAUGUCAACUAGUUGUUGGGGAUUCAUUUCCUUAGUAACGUAGCUAACGCGUGAAGUUGACCGCCUGGGGAGUACGGUCGCAAGAUUAAAACUCAAAUGAAUUGACGGGGUCAUAGCUGUUUCCU